rnacentral:rRNA from 1 species
UUGGAGGGCAAGUCUGGUGCCAGCAGCCGCGGUAAUUCCAGCUCCAAUAGCGUAUAUUAAAGUUGUUGCAGUUAAAAAGCUCGUAGUUGAACUUCGGGACUUGUCCAUUGGUCAGGCUUAACUGUCUGUACUGGUGAGUCGAAUUCCUACCUUCUGAGGAACUUCCAUGCCAUUCACUUGGUGUGUUGGGGAAUCAGGACUGUUACUUUGAAAGAAUUAGAGUGUUUAAAGCAGGCUCACGCUUGAAUACAUUAGCAUGGAAUAACGAAAUAGGACGUUGAGUUCUAUUUUGUUGGUUUCUAGGAUCGCGUAAUGAUUAAUAGGGAUAGUUGGGGGCAUUGUAUUCGAAUU